rnacentral:lncRNA from 1 species
UCGACGAUCGGGCAAUCAAGUGAAUCGACUCAAUCAACCGAGCCAGAUCGCAUCAUUUGGUAUCAGAGCUUGAAAACGAGGAGUACCGAAGAUCGAAGAAUUCAAAUUAGGUUCGUGAAUUAAAAAAAUUCGUGCAAAAAAAAUUCGUGCAUAAAAAAAGAGAGGUUGUAUUUGUUUACAUUUGUAUUCAACUUAUUGUAAUUGAAAAGUUAGAAAAAAAAAGGAAGAAGAGAGUUCGAGUUUAAAAAAAAAAAGAAGGUAUCGAAAUUUUAUGCUUGCAAGUACCGAUCUCAAGAAAUUUUCUAUCUUUCUUGUCCUACCUCCCAACGCCACACUUAGCCUUGAUUUUAUUUUGUUUAGCCUACCCUACACCCACAUCAUUCCUUU